rnacentral:rRNA from 1 species
UAAAGAUUCAUCGCUGAUAGAUAGGCAUGCGUUCCAUUAGGCAGUUGGCGGGGUAACGGCCCACCAAACCGACGAUGGAUAGGGGUUCUGAGAGGAAGGUCCCCCACAUUGGUACUGAGACACGGACCAAACUCCUACGGGAGGCAGCAGUGAGGAAUAUUGGUCAAUGGGCGUAAGCCUGAACCAGCCAAGUCGCGUGAGGGAUGAAGGUUCUAUGGAUCGUAAACCUCUUUUAUAAGGGAAUAAAGUGUGGGACGUGUCCUAUUUUGUAUGUACCUUAUGAAUAAGGAUCGGCUAACUCCGUGCCAGCAGCCGCGGUAAUACGGAGGAUCCGAGCGUUAUCCGGAUUUAUUGGGUUUAAAGGGUGCGUAGGCGGCCUUUUAAGUCAGCGGUGAAAGUCUGUGGCUCAACCAUAGAAUUGCCGUUGAAACUGGGGGGCUUGAGUAUGUUUGAGGCAGGCGGAAUGCGUGGUGUAGCGGUGAAAUGCUUAGAUAUCACGCAGAACCCCGAUUGCGAAGGCAGCCUGCCAGGCCAUGACUGACGCUGAUGCACGAAAGCGUGGGGAUCAAACAGGAUUAGAUACCCUGGUAGUCCACGCAGUAAACGAUGA